rnacentral:rRNA from 1 species
GACAGAGGUCCCGAGCGUUAGGCGGAAUCACUGGGCUUAAAGCGUGUGUAGGCGGACUUCUAAGUACCUUGUGAAAUCCCACGGCUUAACCGUGGAACUGCUUGGUAUACUGGUUGUCUUGGGCCAUCUAGGGGCUACUGGAACAAACGGUGGAGCGGUGAAAUGCGUAGAUAUCGGAAAGAACACCAACGGCGAAAGCACUCUGCUGGGCCGACACUGACACUGAGAGACGAAAGCUAGGGGAGCGAAUGGG